CGGUAAUGCAGUGGAUCAUCAAAUGUUGUCUUACACUGCCAAAGCUCAAACUGAGAAGCCACCGUGGGUGGUACAAGCUGAACCAGGCGUGUACAUUACAUUGUCUUCCUUGCCAGGUGGUGGUAAUGAACUCAAGAGGAUUCGUUUCAGUCGGAAACAUUUCACAGAACAAGAAGCAGAGAAGUGGUGGGCAGAAAAUGGGUCCAGUGUAUGCGAGCGGCACAACAUACUAAGUACAGAUUAAA
rnacentral:misc_RNA from 1 species